AUUGAACGCUGGCGGCAUGCUUUACACAUGCAAGUCGAACGGCAGCGCGGGGGCAACCCUGGCGGCGAGUGGCGAACGGGUGAGUAAUGUAUCGGAACGUAUCCUGUAAUGGGGGAUAACCAGUCGAAAGAUUGGGUAAUACCGCAUAUUCUGUGAGCAGGAAAGCAGGGGAUCGCAAGACCUUGCGCUGAUUGAGCGGCCGAUGUCAGAUUAGCUAGUUGGUGAGGUAAAGGCUCACCAAGGCGACGAUCUGUAGCGGGUCUGAGAGGAUGAUCCGCCACACUGGAACUGAGACACGGUCCAGACUCCUACGGGAGGCAGCAGUGGGGAAUCUUAGACAAUGGGGGAAACCCUGAUCUAGCCAUGCCGCGUGAUCGAUGAAGGCCUUAGGGUUGUAAAGAUCUUUCAGUGGGGAAGAUAAUGACUGUACCCACAGAAGAAGCCCCGGCUAACUCCGUGCCAGCAGCCGCGGUAAGACG
rnacentral:rRNA from 1 species